rnacentral:rRNA from 1 species
UUGCACGCUGGCGGCAGGCCUCACCCAUGCAAGUCGCGCGGAUGAAGGGAGCUUGCUCCUGGAUUCAGCGGCGGACGGGUGAGUAAUGCCUAGGAAUCUGCCUGGUAGUGGGGGAUAACGUCCGGAAACGGGCGCUAAUACCGCAUACGUCCUGAGGGAGAAAGUGGGGGAUCUUCGGACCUCACGCUAUCAGAUGAGCCUAGGUCGGAUUAGCUAGUUGGUGGGGUAAAGGCCUACCAAGGCGACGAUCCGUAACUGGUCUGGGAGGAUGAUCAGUCACACUGGAACUGAGACACGGUCCAGACUCCUACGGGAGGCAGCAGUGGGGAAUAUUGGACAAUGGGCGAAAGCCUGAUCCAGCCAUGCCGCGUGUGUGAAGAAGGUCUUCGGAUUGUAAAGCACUUUAAGUUGGGAGGAAGGGCAGUAAGUUAAUACCUUGCUGUUUUGACGUUACCAACAGAAUAAGCACCGGCUAACUUCGUG